GGGGGAUCUUAGGACCUCCCGCUACAGGGGCGGCCGAUGGCAGAUUAGCUAGUUGGUGGGGUAAAGGCCUACCAAGGCGACGAUCUGUAGCUGGUCUGAGAGGACGACCAGCCACACUGGGACUGAGACACGGCCCAGACUCCUACGGGAGGCAGCAGUGGGGAAUUUUGGACAAUGGGGGAAACCCUGAUCCAGCAAUGCCGCGUGUGUGAAGAAGGCCUUCGGGUUGUAAAGCACUUUUGUCCGGAAAGAAAUCCUCUUCGCUAAUACCGAGGGGGGAUGACGGUACCGGAAGAAUAAGCACCGGCUAACUACGUGCCAGCAGCCGCGGUAAUACGUAGGGUGCAAGCGUUAAUCGGAAUUACUGGGCGUAAAGCGUGCGCAGGCGGUUCGCUAAGACAGAUGUGAAAUCCCCGGGCUUAACCUGGGAACUGCAUUUGUGACUGGC
rnacentral:rRNA from 1 species